rnacentral:rRNA from 1 species
UACGUAGGGGGCAAGCGUUGUCCGGAUUUAUUGGGCGUAAAGCGCUCGCAGGCGGUCCGAUGCGUCGUGCGUGAAAGCCCCCGGCUCAACUGGGGAGGGUCAUUCGAUACUGUUCGACUCGAAGGCAGGAGAGGGAAGUGGAAUUCCCGGUGUAGUGGUGAAAUGCGUAGAUAUCGGGAGGAACACCAGUGGCGAAGGCGACUUCCUGGCCUGUUCUUGACGCUGAGGCGCGAAAGCUAGGGGAGCAAACGGGG